AUCGAACGCUAGCGGGAUGCCUUACACAUGCAAGUCGAACGGCAGCGCGGACUUCGGUCUGGCGGCGAGUGGCGAACGGGUGAGUAAUGUAUCGGAACGUGCCCAGGCGCGGGGGAUAACUACGCGAAAGCGUAGCUAAUACCGCAUACGCCCUACGGGGGAAAGUAGGGGAUCGUAAGAUCUUGUACUAUUUGAGUGGCCAAUAUCGGAUUCGCUAGUUGGUGAGGUAACGGCUCACCAAGGCGACUAUCCGAAGCUGGUUUGAAGGGACGACCAGAUAGACUGUGACUGAGACACGGCCGAGACUCCUGCAGGAGGAAGCGGUGGGGAAUUUUAGGCGAUGGAGGAGACGCUGAUCCAGCAAACCCGCGUAUAGGAUGAAGGACUUCGGGUUGGAAAGCACUUUUGGCAGGAAAGAAGCGACGCGCUCUAACCCGCCGUGAAAAUGACGGUACCUGCAGAAUAAGCACCGGCUAACUACGUG
rnacentral:rRNA from 1 species